AGUGAACGCUGGCGGUAGGCCUAACACAUGCAAGUCGAACGGCAGCACAGUAAGAGCUUGCUCUUACGGGUGGCGAGUGGCGGACGGGUGAGGAAUACAUCGGAAUCUACUUUUUCGUGGGGGAUAACGUAGGGAAACUUACGGUAAUACCGCAUACGAACUACGGGUGAAAGCAGGGGAUCUUCGGACCUUGCGCGAUUGAAUGAGCCGAUGUCGGAUUAGCUAGUUGGCGGGGUAAAGGCCCACCAAGGCGACGAUCCGUAGCUGGUCUGAGAGGAUGAUCAGCCACACUGGAACUGAGACACGGUCCAGACUCCUACGGGAGGCAGCAGUGGGGAAUAUUGGACAAUGGGCGCAAGCCUGAUCCAGCCAUACCGCGUGGGUGAAGAAGGCCUUCGGGUUGUAAAGCCCUUUUGUUGGGAAAGAAAAGCAGCAGGUUAAUACCCCGCUGUUCUGACGGUACCCAAAGAAUAAGCACCGGCUAACUUCGUG
rnacentral:rRNA from 1 species